rnacentral:misc_RNA from 1 species
AGAAGUAAAAGUCGUAACAAGGUUUCCGUGGGUGAACCUGCGGAAGGAUCAUUACUAAAAAACAAAACAACAAAAACCCCAAAACCUUUUUUUGUGUGAACCAAAAUUUUUAUAGAGAGAGAGAAGGCAAAGAUUGUGAGAGAGAAUCUCGUCGUCUUAUAAAUUUCUCUUUUUCUAUAAAUUUUUUAUUAUAUAUAACUCCAUUAUUUUUUAUAUUAUUAAUAUAGUCUAAGACACUUUUUUAUUUAAAAAAAAAUAAAAAAACAACUUUUAACAAUGGAUCUCUUGGUUCUC